AUAAUCUCGUUAGCCCCUGUUUUAGCUGGUCUCAUGUCACUUGUAGAAAUGGAAAUGUCAUAUCCCUGAGCCUGGCAUCAAAUGGAUUUUCUGGAACGCUUUCUCCUUCGAUUACUAAACUGAAAUUUUUGGCUAGCCUGGACUUCCAGGAUAAUAGUCUAACGGGCCUGUUACCCAUUUAUCUUGCCAACAUGACACAACUACAGAAA